GGCCUUAUAGUCGAAGUAAAGACAUCAGACUGCAAUUCUGGGAGUGUAAUGUUACUAAGGCUU
rnacentral:tRNA from 1 species